UGGUUCAAGUAGUAGAUACAUUUUGGGAAAAAGUUUCUAAAUGCGGGAUUCAUGAUCUACUUCGCGAUCUUCCGUAAAAAGGAAUCGUGAGGUAAACUUCUUUGACAUUUAUGAUCCAAGAAAUCACUCCAUAUCCUCCUUAUGUCUCAGACAUGCCGUUCAUGGUCAAGCACAAAGGUACCUCUCACUUGAUCUUUCUAACUUGAAGUUGAGGUCAAUUAUGUUCUUCGAUUCAGAUCUUUAUAAGAUGGGUCUUAUAAAGUUCCGUAAUAAGUUCCAACAUAUAUAUGUGUUGUACUUGAAUAAUCGUUCUAGCACUACAUCUAUAGUACCUGAUGCCAUAAGAAGGUUGUACCACCUCAAAUUCUUAAGAUUGACAGGUAUCCAUGGUCUUCCCUCCUCCAUUGGCAACCUCAAGAAUUUACACACUUCUUGUCAAUGAAGACGGAAACUCAUGCCAACUACCCCCCGAGACAACUGACCUAAUAAAUCUAAGACAUUUAGUUGCUCCAUAUCCAAAACCUCUAAAACGUAUAAACAAACUCACAAGUCUUCAAGUUCUUAAAGAAAUCUCUUGUGAUCAGUGGAAAGAUAUUGACCCUAUUGAUUUAGUCAAUCUUCGAGAAUUAAGCAUGGUUAAUAUUGAGGAAGCUUACUCCCUAAACAACAUUGGCAGCUUGAAAAACCUUAGCACUCUCAUUUUGGUGUGUAAAGCUGAUCAAUCAUUCCCGGCCCUUGAAUAUCUUAGUUCUUGUCAAAAGCUCCAGAAAUUAUGGUUAUUUGGGAGAAUAGAAAAAAUGCCUCUGUCAGACCCGUUUCCAAAUUCCAUCACAAUGAUGAUCCUUCAGCGUUCAAGACUCAUGGAAGAUCCAAUGCCUAUUCUGGGAAUGUUGCCAAACCUAAGGGAUCUCGAUUUAGUAGCAGCUUAUGAAGGAAAAGAAAUUACCUGCAAUGAUAACAGCAAAUCAAGCUGGAGUUCCUUGGUCUUGUAUUACUUGAGAGGCUAGAAAGAUGGCAUUUAGCCACAAGUGCCAUGCCACUGAUUAAAGGUCUUGGUAUUUAUUACUGUCCAGAGCUAGCGGAGAUUCCCAAGAGAAUGAAAGACGUGGAGAGGUUGAAGAGUAUUGAUGAAGCUUUUCAAGCAUAUAUGAUAUCCUAUUUCGGCCUCUUUCACAAUCGCAAAGGAGAAGAAACUGUCAGUGGAAAAUAAAAUGGCAGUUGGGGGUAUUUUUGCCAAGCAAACUGAAGACAUUAAUAUUGAUGGAGUAUAUAAGCAUUAAUCAGGUUUCUGCCAGUUCAGUGUUUUGUUUCGCAUGGUUUUUUAGUGUUUAAUUUUUUGUUUUUGCUUUGAUUGUGUGGGAUUGGUUUGAAGAAAAUUGUUUUUGGGAGUGUAUGCAAAAAUGAUUUUGUGAUGUUUUAAUUAAAUGUUCAACUGUUAUUUUGCUUUAUCUAUAUUUAAGACAAUGCUUUUUGUAAUAUGUUCCAACAUCUGUAUGUGCUGGAGUUAUAGAACAUCUAUUUUGCUAACUCUAUUUUACCUGAUGCCAUAGGCAACUUGGUCUAUCUCAAUUCUCUAUGCAUUAUGUACUAACAUUCAUGAUUCCCGUUAUUGAUUAUCCCUCGAGAGAAUUAAUUUGAUUAACUUAAGACUAUUAAUUGCUCGAUAAUGAGAAACUCUGCAAGUUGGCAAACUCGCAAAUCUGCAAACACUUAAAUAUAUCUGUUAUAAUCAGUGGAAAAAUGUUGGUUAACGAAUACUAAAGAAUUAGUUGUGAAAGGUAUUAGGAAAUCUUACUCUCCAAAAAUCAUCAAACUGCUAGUCUCCAGGUAUAUUCAGGACACGUGGAAGAUUCAAUGCCUAUUCUGAUGCCUCAUUAUUCUGAUUUUAGACGGAUUCUACGAACUAUAAAGGCCAUUAGCUGCAAAAGCAGAGACGCAAUGCAUGCCAAAAUUAUCAAUUAUUAGAAGUUUAAUGUACUGACUCAAAUUUAAUUACAUGCCUUCUUCGUGUGACGUGAUCUAACCUUUAUAGGAACUAAAUUAGAGUGUCAUCAAAAUGAUGUCAGUAAGAAAUGAUAUGACGGAAGUCUUUUUGCGUUGAAAACAUCAUGGACAACACCCACUUCCCAUGUACACACCAAAGAGCAAUAACUGUCCAAUGUUUUCUAUCUAGGGCCUGCUUUAAGCUUACCAGAGAGCUCCCUCUUCGAUCCCUCUUCUGUCUACUUACAGAGCUAUAACUGUCCAAAAGCAUAUUUAUAGGUCAAUAACUGUCCAAAAGCAUAUUUAUAGGACAACUUUUGACCUAAUCUCAAACUUAAGGGACCAUUUAUGUUAUUUUCUAGUGUUUUAUGUAGGAUUUAUUUUGUGGGAUAAUAGGUAAAACUUGAAUGAUUUUUCUGGAAUAAAACAAACAAAAGUAACUUUAUUGGUCAUUUCUAUAACUUACCAGAUGGUGCCCUCUGCCGUCUACUUAAAUGCUGCUUCACAUCCAUUUCAUGCUAGUAAUUAAGAUCAAGAUUGCAUCAAAUGCAAACACAUCACCAAGUACCACAACAGAGUAACAAAAACGAAAGACGAUGGCACACCAGUUUUUCACAAAAGGCAGUUGACAAAGUACAUGCUGCUGCUUAAAGAGAUUAAGGAUCACAAUAUAUAAAGAUAUAUAAAUAUCCUAUGAAAGCAGAAGAUCCUUCAUCUAGUUCCGGAGGCCAGCCAAGCAAACAAAUUUGAGGGCGGCUUUCAGCGGUGAGCUGGCCCCAUUACUACCGUGAUGGCUACUUUAUGCUUUUUUAGUUCUUAGACUGAACUUAUCAUGUGAUGUCUGUCCAGUAAAGAUUCCUAGAUGUUUCCAUGAUGGGUUAUGUAUUUGAGGAUUAUGACUCAGUAUUGGGAGAUGAUUCAGAUGUUGUUAUCCAUUAUUAUGUUGAAACUUAUUAAACUUCUGCUGUUAUUUAGUUAUCAACUGGCUAAUGAAGUAAAAUUGAGGCGUGACAUGAAUUUCCUCAAACAAACAACUAAAUUAAUUAACUUAAAGUGAAAAUCAGAAGAACUUAAAGGUCUGAAUUCCUAACAGUGAUAUUUUUCCAAACACCGGCCACUUUGUAUAACGAUUAAAAAAAUAAAAAAUAAAAGAGAGGGGAAGGGGGAGAGGUCAGCCAUAACACCUUGCAUAUCCAUGGAUCGAUGAAUAGGCCAAGAAGUUCUUUCAUCGGUUUUUGCUGUACAUGAGCAGUGACAUUCUUUCAUUCUGUAUUCACUUUUGACUUGCAUCUUCUUGAUGCCUUUAAUAAAAUAAAAUAAAAUAAAAUAAAAAGAGUUGCAGAGCGAAGGCAAGAACCAAAACCAAGCUUCAGAUAGGGCAAACACCAAAAGAGAAAAGUUAAGGACGAAGAAAGAGAUAAAGGUGAGAAGAAAGGAACAAUGGGGGCUAAAGAAGGAAAGAACAUAUGGGUGUUCCUAAAGGCAGAGGAUGAAUAAAAGUGACAGAAAAGAUAAAAGGCAAAUGACAUUGACAAGAGCAAAUGGAUAAAAAAUUAGGAGAACAAAUUGUGUUUGUUAUGUGAGACACAAUGUAAAAUGUCUGAUCAUUAUUCUGAUGGAAUAAUGCAAAGUCAAUUGAUUGUAUAUAGUAGUUAAAUGAUAGCUAGAGUGUGGAUGCAAGUGGCUGGUCAAACUUGAAAAAAUUAAAAUACAAGAGCAGUUAAAUGACAGCUAGAAACAUAUUAGAAUAUACUUACUCUACAUCAAACUUUUUCUGGCAGCAGUUAGCAGCCAACUUGAUUUAACUUUCUCCCAUAUAUUACUUUUAAUAAGAGGAAACAGCAAACAGGACAACGACCUUAUAAGCCUACUGCAUGUAUUGCUUUAACAGUAAAAACCCGAACUCCUGAAGAUGGUUGAUGCCUUUAUGUCAUUUGCAGUUCAAAAACUGGGGGAUUUCCUCAUACAGGAAGUUUCCCUGCGUUUAAGUCUGAGAGAGGAUGUGCAGUGGCUGCGAAAUAAGCUGCUCUUCAUGCAGUCUUUCCUCAAAGAUGCAGAAGAAAAGCAAAGCGAAUAUUAAAGAGUUCAACAAUGGGUGUUUGAAAUCAACUCUGUUGCUAAUGACGCUGUCGCUACACUGGAGACUUACAACUUCGAGGCUGAAAAAGGUGGUGACGAUGGAUUUGCUAGUUGUCUCAAGGCUGGUGCUUGCAUAUGUAGGAAGGAGACCAAAUUCUACAAAGUCGGUAAGGAGAUCCAAUCACUCAAGCAACGAAACAUGGAAAUCUCUGACAAACGAGAGACUUAUGGUAUUACAAAUAUCGAUAAUAUUGCAGGAGAAGGACCAAGUAACCGGCCAAACAA